GUAGGUAAGCUCUAUUUGGCCCGAAAGCCGCCAAAAACUGGCGGAAUGCUCUCGAAACCAAUUCACUUGAGUGAGACAGAGGAGAGUGGAAUUUCGUGUGUAGGGGUGAAAUUCGAAGAUCUACGAAGGAACACCAAAAGCGAAGGCAGCUCUCUGGUUCCCUACCGACGCUGAGGUGUGAAAGCAUGGGGAGCGAACAGGAUUAGAUAUUCUGGUAGUCCAUGCCGUAAACGAUGAGUGUUCACCCUUGGUGUCUACGCAGAUCAGGGGCCAGCUAACGCGUGAAAUACUC
rnacentral:ncRNA from 1 species